rnacentral:rRNA from 1 species
CCUACGGGCGGCAGCAGUGGGGGAUAUUGCACAAUGGGGGGAACCCUGAUGCAGCGACGCCGCGUGAGUGAAGAAGUAUUUCGGUAUGUAAAGCUCUAUCAGCAGGGAAGAAGAUGACGGUACCUGACUAAGAAGCCCCGGCUAACUACGUGCCAGCAGCCGCGGUAAUACGUAGGGUGCCAGCGUUAUCCGGAUUUACUGGGUGUAAAGGGCACGUAGACGGCGGGGCAAGUCUGGAGUGAAAGCCCGGGGCCCAACCCCGGGACUGCUUUGGAAACUGCCAUGCUAGAGUGCUGGAGCGGGAAGAGGAAUUCCUAGUGGAGCGGUGAAAUGCGUAGAUAUUAGGAGGAACACCAGUGGCGAAGGCGGCUUACUGGACAGUAACUGACGUUGAGGCUCGAAAGCGUGGGGAGCAAACAGGAUUAGAUACCCGAGUAGUC